rnacentral:rRNA from 1 species
CCCAAGUUUAAGGUGGUAGGCUGAAAUCUUAGGUAAAUCCGGGGUUUCAAGGCCGAGAGCUGAUGACGAGUCGUCUUUUAGAUGACGAAGUGGUUGAUGCCAUGCUUCCAAGAAAAGCUUCUAAGCUUCAGGUAACCAGGAACCGUACCCCAAACCGACACAGGUGGUCGGGUAGAGAAUACCAAGGCGCUUGAGAGAACUCGGGUGAAGGAACUAGGCAAAAUGGCACCGUAACUUCGGGAGAAGGUGCGCCGGCUAGGGUGAAGGAUUUACUCCGUAAGCUCUGGCUGGUCGAAGAUACCAGGCCGCUGCGACUGUUUAUUAAAAACACAGCACUCUGCAAACACGAAAGUGGACGUAUAGGGUGUGACGCCUGCCCGGUGCCGGAAGGUUAAUUGAUGGGGUUAGCGCAAGCGAAGCUCUUGAUCGAAGCCCCGGUAAACGGCGGCCGUAACUAUAACGGUCCUAAGGUAGCGAAAUUCCUUGUCGGGUAAGUUCCGACCUGCACGAAUGGCGUAACGAUGGCGGCGCUGUCUCCACCCGAGACUCAGUGAAAUUGAAAUCGCUGUGAAGAUGCAGUGUAUCCGCGGCUAGACGGAAAGACCCCGUGAACCUUUACUGUAGCUUUGCACUGGACUUUGAGCCUGCUUGUGUAGGAUAGGUGGGAGGCUUUGAAGCGUGGACGCCAGUUCGCGUGGAGCCAUCCUUGAAAUACCACCCUGGCAUGCUUGAGGUUCUAACUCUGGUCCGUAAUCCGGAUCGAGGACAGUGUAUGGUGGGCAGUUUGACUGGGGCUGUCUCCUCCUAAAGAGUAACGGAGGAGUACGAAGGUGCGCUCAGACCGGUCGGAAAUCGGUCGCAGAGUAUAAAGGCAAAAGCGCGCUUGACUGCGAGACAGACACGUCGAGCAGGUACGAAAGUAGGUCUUAGUGAUCCGGUGGUUCUGUAUGGAAGGGCCAUCGCUCAACGGAUAAAAGGUACUCCGGGGAUAACAGGCUGAUACCGCCCAAGAGUUCAUAUCGACGGCGGUGUUUGGCACCUCGAUGUCGGCUCAUCACAUCCUGGGGCUGAAGCCGGUCCCAAGGGUAUGGCCGUUCGCCAUUUAAAGUGGUACGCGAGCUGGGUUUAGAACGUCGUGAGACAGUUCGGUCCCUAUCUGCCGUGGACGUUUGAGAUUUGAGAGGGGCUGCUCCUAGUACGAGAGGACCGGAGUGGACGAACCUCUGGUGUUCCGGUUGUCACGCCAGUGGCAUUGCCGGGUAGCUAUGUUCGGAAAAGAUAACCGCUGAAAGCAUCUAAGCGGGAAACUUGCCUCAAGAUGAGAUCUCACUGGGAACUUGAUUCCCCUGAAGGGCCGUCGAAGACUACGACGUUGAUAGGCUGGGUGUGUAAGCGUUGUGAGGCGUUGAGCUAACCAGUACUAAUUGCCCGUGAGGCUUGAC